rnacentral:rRNA from 1 species
CGCGAAGAACCUUACCUGGUCUUGACAUCCCUCUGACCGCUCUAGAGAUAGAGUUUUCCUUCGGGACAGAGGUGACAGGUGGUGCAUGGUUGUCGUCAGCUCGUGUCGUGAGAUGUUGGGUUAAGUCCCGCAACGAGCGCAACCCCUAUUGUUAGUUGCCAUCAUUCAGUUGGGCACUCUAGCGAGACUGCCGGUAAUAAACCGGAGGAAGGUGGGGAUGACGUCAAAUCAUCAUGCCCCUUAUGACCUGGGCUACACACGUGCUACAAUGGCUGGUACAACGAGUCGCAAGUCGGUGACGGCAAGCUAAUCUCUUAAAGCCAGUCUCAGUUCGGAUUGUAGGCUGCAACUCGCCUACAUGAAGUCGGAAUCGCUAGUAAUCGCGGAUCAGCACGCCGCGGUGAAUACGUUCCCGGGCCUUGUACACACCGCCCGUC